rnacentral:rRNA from 1 species
GAUGAACGCUGGCGGCGUGCUUAACACAUGCAAGUCGAACGAGAAGUGAAGACGGAAACCUUCGGGCGGAAGGCUUUAUUUCGAGUGGCGGACGGGUGAGUAACGCGUGGUUAACCUGCCUCAUACAGGGGGAUAACAGUUGGAAACGACUGUUAAUACCGCAUAAGACCACAGCACCGCAUGGUGCGGGGGUAAAAACUCCGGUGGUAUGAGAUGGACCCGCGUUCGAUUAGCCAGUUGGCGGGGUAACGGCCCACCAAAGCGACGAUCGAUAGCCGAUCUGAGAGGAUGACCGGCCACAUUGGGAGUGAGACACGGCCCAAACUCCUACGGGAGGCAGCAGUGGGGAAUAUUGCACAAUGGGGGAAACCCUGAUGCAGCGACGCCGCGUGAGUGAAGAAGUAUUUCGGUAUGUAAAGCUCUAUCAGCAGGGAAGAAAAUGACGGUACCUGAGGAAGAAGCCCCGGCUAACUACGUG